rnacentral:misc_RNA from 1 species
CGCACAUUGCGCCCCCUGGUAUUCCGAGGGGCAUGCCUGUUCGAGCGUCAUUACAACCCUCAAGCUUAGCUUGGUAUUGGGCUCCGCCAUCUAUCUGGCGGGCUUUAAAAUCAGUGGCGGUGUCGUUGAGGCCCUGAGCGUAGUAAAUAUCCUCGCUAUAGGGACCCGGCGAAUAUUGGCCAUCAACCUUAAUCUUCUAAGUUUGACCUCGGAUCAGGUAGGGAUACCCGCUGAACUUAA